rnacentral:lncRNA from 1 species
AUGGAUGUAACCCUAAUCCACCACACUAUAUAAAGGAGGUCUUGGUUCUUGAAAUCACUACUAGUUGACACAUGUUGAGGUGAGGGCCGAUUUCAAGAGAAGUGGUGACUAUUCUCUCAAAGUUCCAAGUUUGUGGUGAUUUGUGACUUUCAUUUGAGGCAUCCACACUACUGGUGCUAGGCUCUAAAACUCCAAGCAAUAAACUACAACUACAAGGUAAGUGUUUCUACUAGCUUUAUUUGAUUCAAGUUCCCCAUGCCAUGCUAGUUAGGAUAUAAGCCUUGGAAAAAUAAUUAUUUGCAUGUAUCUUAGACAAACAUAGAUCCAAGGUUUAUUAGGGUUGCAUGUACACUUAGGAAGUGUUAGAAUGCUCAAAACCCAUCAGUGGUAUCAGAGCCUAGGCUUGUUUGUUUGUUAUUUGUGCUUAAAAGUUGAAGAAAGUCGAAAAUUCUGCUGUCUGACUGAUGGACUCGGCGAGUCCAUGGGGAGGACUCGUCGAGUUCAUGUGUAUCUUCAACCUACUCGGCGAGUAGGUUUAUGCACUCGGCGAGUAGGGUCGACAGAGUGCAGAAUUUCGACUUGAGUUGCUGGAAAUGGAUUAGAAUCAUUACCCUAAAAUGUUUUGGUACUUGAAAACUUAUUUUAGAAGGUGUAAUGUCUUUUCUAACUCAUUUACAACAACUAGUUAUCAAAAUUACAAAGAUUAAAUGUGAUUUUGAUUCUUGAAAGUGUUCAUAUUCAUAUUCUUGUUCUUAUGAUGUUUAGAUGAUCAUAGGAAUUAUUUGUAACCUAUGUGGUAGAUUAAUUCAUGAUCAUAAUGUGUUUUAAUGGAGUCCAUAACUUGUCCUCAAGUUAUGGAAAACCAAAAGUCUCUUGGAUUAAAAACCAUUAAAAGAACACAAGAGUUAGGAAAAAUGAAAAGUCCUCAUUUUAUUACUCUAUUAAACUCAUAAGUUACAAGAAAUGAAAAGUUUUGAAAGUUUACAAAACUUGCCCUCAAGUUUUGGAACAAGUAAAGUUAAGUUAAAACUUUAGUUCCAACCCCUAGAAUUUUAAAAGUUAAAAUUCAACCCUUAUACUUAUAUUAUUAUGAUUUAAUAAUUAUAUAUAUAUGUAUAAGAACAAAGUCGUCUUACCGCUAGUACGCCUCAUUCACGAAGCCGGUCUAUAAGGUGGGUAUAAGGUUGUUGCCUAUAAAAUGGUGACUUAAUGGGUGUCCACUCUCACCCACCGCUUGCUUGAUCGGUGGAGGGUCGUUAGCCGAACGGGUAAGACAAGGACUUAUUAAUUCUCAUUCAAAGUAUGAUGAAUAUUAUAAAGUAACUAAAUGUUUUAUUAAAUUCCCAAUCUUAGUUACUUUAGGAAAAAUGUGAAUAAGGUGCUAUUCCAUGAAAUUACACUUUACACUUUGAUUAAGUCGUUGGUGGAGCGUGUGUGGUUAACCGGCACACUAACUUGGACUUAACAAGGUAGGUAAAGGGUGACUUAGGGUUUAUUAUAGUAUCGAUGGAGCGUGUGUGGUUAACCGGCACAUCGAUUGAGUGAUAAACUUUAAGGGUACCAAGUGAUUUGCAUGGUUACUUCACACCUCGUUUUGUGAUCCUCGGUAUCCCAGUCACAAAACUUGGAGGGCACACUCGAGAUUGAAACAUGCCUUUGAAAAGUUCAUUGAAUCUCAAAGAAUCUAGGAAUUUCUAAGAACCAUUCAAAAACCUAAUACUAAAAUAUUGCGGUUUUCGUGGUGGAAAUUGGUGAAUCGUCAUUCACCUACCUUUCAAAUAUGAUAUAGCUUAGAUUACGGCAUACCUCUUCUAAGUUAUAUUAUAUUGUGAUUGGAUCCUAGCCUUAAUAUUACAUUUGGGUGUUUUAUUAAGGACUCUCUUAUAUCUAAACUAAUCUUGUCCUCUUUCCUUCAGAUGUCUUUCAACAAUGCUUCUGGCUCUAAUCCUAAUGGCUCCUUUACCCUUAUGAACUUGUGUGGGAAAGUCACCUUUGAUGGAUCCAACUUCAAUGAGUGGAUCAGAAACAUCAGGAUGAUUACCCGCUACGAGGACAAAGAAUAUGUCCUUGACAAGGAGCUUAAGGAGAUUGAUGAGUCCACUGCAACUCCUCAGGAGAUCGCUGAAUUUCGGGCACAUGAAAGGGAUGCUACGAAAGUGGCUUGCAUCAUGAUGGCCACGAUGACAGCGGAACUCCAAAAGUCUUAUGAGGAUUUCUACCCUUAUGACAUGCACCAAGAUUUGAUGGAAAGAUACCAUCAAAGUGCAAGACAAGAGAGGUAUGAAAUCAUCUGCUCCAUGAUAACAACCAUGAUGAAGGACGGGGAAUCCGUCACGAGCCACAUGCAGAAAAUGCAAAGGUAUGUGGAUCGUUUGCUGAAGCUUAAUGUGAACUUCCCGGAGGAUCUUGCAAUAGAUAUUAUUUUGCAUUCCUUACCAUCGUGCUAUGAUCAAUUCCGCAUGACAUAUCACAUGAACAAGGAAGAAGUCACCCUCAGCAAACUUCAGGGACUUCUCAAGACCGCAGAAACAGGUCUUAAGGGGAAGUCGGUUGCUAUCACUCCUACUCAAAACUCUACUCCGGUUUUGGCAAUCGGGAAAAGUCGAGGGAGGAAGAGAAAGAGCUCUUCUAAGGGUACCAAGGCUCGGACCCUUGAUGGCUCUUCUUCAAGUGGAACCAAGAAAGGUUUCGUUACUCCUUCUUCUGACCCAAAAGAGGCUGAAUGCUUCUAUUGCCAUGAAAAAGCUCAUUGGAAGCGGAACUGCCCAAAAUACCAGCAAGAUGUGAAGGAUGGGAAAGUUAAACCCAACCAUGCAGGUAUUUACACUAUCAUUUCUAAUAACUCACCCCAUUCUAAUUCUUGGGUCCUUGAUACCGGGUGUGGUAUUCACAUUUGUUGUGACUUGCAGGGACUAAGAAGAAGUGAGGAUGUGGAGCAAGGAAGGAUAAACUUGAUCAUGGGGAAUAGGAAAGCUAUACCUGUUACCAAGAUUGGAGUUUAUACUUUAUCGCUAAGUAGUGGGUUUAGUUUAGAUUUGAAUAAGUGUUGUUAUUCGCCAGGAAUGGCAAGAAAUAUUAUUUCCUUUCAUGCUUUGUACAAACAAGGGUUUACCUUUUCAUUUAAUAAUGAAGUUGGUUCUAUAGAUGUUUUCUAUAAUAAUGUCUUUUAUUUUAAAGCAUUACCUUGUGAUGGUGUGUAUGAAGCUGUAUCUGUUGUAGAUAACUUGGGAAAUAAUGUUUUGUGUAUUGAUUCUACUAAUAAUAACUUGGAUAAAGCAUCUUUAUGGCAUUGUCGUCUUGGACAUAUAAGCAAGAAACGCAUAGGCCAACUCCAAAAGGAUGGAGUCUUGGAGUCGUUUGACCUAAAGUCAGAUGAUAGUUGCGAAUCAUGCUUACUUGGAAAAAUGACAAAGUCACCCUUCACAGGUUCGUGUGAGAGGGGUGAAGGUUUGUUGGACCUUAUACACACGGAUGUGUGUGGACCAUUCAAACAUGCCACAAGGGAUGCUAAUCGUUAUUAUUUGACUUUUACUGAUGAUUAUAGUAGAUAUGGAUAUGUCUACUUGAUCAAGCAUAAGUCAGAGACUUUCGAGAGGUUUAAGGAAUUUAAACAGGAAGUCGAGAAUCAAUUGGGCAGGAACAUUAAGAUGCUUCGAUCCGAUCGUGGUGGUGAGUAUCUUAGUUCAGAGUUCCUCGACUAUCUAAGGGAAUGUGGGAUAGUCUCACAAUUGACACCUCCCAGGACACCACAGUUGAAUGGUGUGGCUGAGAGGCGUAAUCGAACCUUGUUAGAUAUGGUUCGUUCCAUGAUGAGUCGAGCUACGCUACCAAUCUCAUUCUGGGGGUAUGCCUUAGAGACUGCCGCCCAUAUUCUUAAUCUAGUCCCUACAAAGAAAGUUGCCAAAACUCCUCACGAGAUGUGGACUGGUAAAGUACCUAAACUAGACCACAUCAAGAUUUGGGGUUGCGAGGCUUUCGUGAGACGCGAGACUCAUGAUAAGCUCGAACCUCGAAGCGAGAGGUGUAUUUUCAUCGGUUACCCACAGCGAUCCUUUGGUUACCUCUUCUACAGACCUAGUGACAAUGUGGUCUUUGUAGCAAGAAGAGGAGUCUUUCGAGAAAGAGAGUUUAUAAGCCAAGGAGACAGUGGGAGGCAAAUUGAUCUUGAAGAAAUUCAAGAAUCAAGCGGUGAAGGAACUUCAAACUCUAGCCCUCAACUUGAGGAGGAAACUCCUGUUGAGCCAAUUGACAAAUCUGUACCUCUGAGACGUUCCACGAGAGUUAGGAGUGCACCUGAGCAUUACUAUGGAUUCCAUAUUACUGCAGAAGGUGAGACACUUAUUAGUGAUGAGACACUAGUAAGUCAAGAUGACCCUAACAGCUACGAGGAAGCCAUGGCAGGCCCCGAGUCUGCUAAAUGGAAAGAGGCUAUGGAUAGCGAGAUACAAUCCAUGUAUGACAAUCAAGUUUGGAACUUGGUUGAAAAUGUACCAGGUCGUAAGACAGUAGGGUGCAAAUGGGUCUUCAAGAAGAAGACCGACAUGGAUGGUAAAGUACACACUUAUAAGGCUAGACUGGUUGCAAAGGGCUUCUCUCAAAUUCCUGGAGUGGAUUAUGAUGAGACCUUUUCUCCGGUAGCCAAGAUUAAGUCUAUUCGGGUUCUGUUAGCCAUAGCUGCAUUUCAUGACUAUGAAAUAUGGCAGAUGGAUGUCAAAACCGCUUUCCUUAAUGGAAAGUUGGCUGAAGAUGUUUACAUGAGUCAGCCAGAGGGUUUUGUCAGCAACGAGUACCCUAAUAGAGUGUGUAAGCUUGAGAAAUCCAUUUAUGGAUUGAAGCAAGCACCUCGCAGAUGGAAUCUUUGCUUUGAUGAAAAGGUCAAGGAAUUUGGCUUUUCUAGGAGUGAAGAUGAAUCUUGUGUGUAUGUCAAGGCUAGUGGGAGUAUAGUUAGCUUUUUGGUAUUGUAUGUGGAUGACAUACUACUCAUAGGAAACGACAUUCCAACCCUGCAGGAAGUAAAGUCCUGGCUUGGGAAGUGUUUCGCUAUGAAGGACCUUGGUGAAGCUGCCUAUAUUCUAGGGAUAAGAAUCUUGAGAGAUCGGAGUAAAAGACUAAUUGGACUUAGUCAGAGUACCUACUUGGAUAAGGUGCUGAAGAGAUUCAGCAUGCAGGAUUCCAAGAAAGGAGAGUUACCCAUCCAGAGUAACACCAGAUUGAGUAAGACACAAAGCCCUAGCACUGAGGCUGAGAUAGCAGAAAUGAGUCGAACACCUUACGCUUCGGCUGUAGGAUCGAUCAUGUAUGCUAUGACGUGUACUCGACCCGAUGUAGCUUUUGCCUUGAGCAUGGUUAGCAGGUAUCAGGCGAACCCUGGCAAGGCACACUGGACUGCGGUAAAGAAUAUCCUCAAGUACCUACGGAGGACUAAGGACUGGGUCCUUACCCUCGGUGGGAGUGAUGACUUGAGAGUUGUAGGGUAUAGUGAUGCUAGCUUCCAGACUGAUAGGGAUAAUUUCCGCUCUCAGUCGGGCUGGGUCUUUACCCUAAACGGAGGAGCAAUUUCUUGGAAGAGUUCCAAGCAAGAGACAGUGGCAGAUUCUACUUGUGAAUCAGAGUAUAUUGCAGCUAGCGAGGCAGCAAAGGAGGCGAUAUGGCUGAAGAACUUCAUUGGAGACCUUGGAGUUGUACCAGCUAUUAAAGAGCCAAUGGAAAUUUUCUGUGAUAGUGAAAGUGCUGUUGCCUUAGCCAAGGAACCAAGGGAUCAUGGGAGAUCCAGACACAUCGACAGAAAAUACCAUUUCAUUAGACAUCGGAUCGAAGAAGGACUCCUCGUGGCAAAGAGGGUAUCAUCGGAUGAGAACCCAGCAGAUCCCCUCACGAAGGGACUGAGUAGGGUUAAGCAUCUCCAGCAUGCUCGGAGCAUAGGGCUGAAGGAUGAUAUAAGUUUUAGUAGUUAGAUAACCCAGAAAUUUGUAAAGUGUAAUUGACAUUUGAUGAUGAAUAAAAGGUGUUUUAUUUAUGAGUAAAGUGUUGCUAUCUCUUGUCGAUCGUUUACUAUAUUUCUUUUGCAUGUUUUGACUUCCAGAAUAAUUAUGUUUGGUAUAUCAUAUUAUUCAAACCUCCACAGUCGGUCAUAUGUCGGAAGUAGGUAUGAAUCAAGACUGUCAUGAUGGGUUGCAGAGGUCUAAGGUGUUGGACAAGGCUACAACAAUCAUGAGUGCUCAUAAGUUCUGAGCAUUGGACUCAACCCACGCUCACUGGAAUCACUUCAUGGAAUUUUAUCUCGAGUGAUCGUGAGACGGUAAUAUCAUAUAAGUCUUCAAACCUAGAGAUAUGAUUUGUUACUUACGAGUUGGUUAUGCAUUGAUUGUACGAAAACGCAUUGGUAACUCGAUGUUAUAAAACGUGCUUUUGUGUGUAAUUCAAUGAGUGGUAGAACAAACAUAUGAGUCGAAGUUUAUCUGUUCCUUCUUGGAUUAGAAGCUGAUAUCUGGGCCCCUCGAUGAUUUUGUUUUGACCUAUGUACCGGGCCCGGUCAGAACUAAAUUGAUGUGUUCAGUUGAGUUCUAUGUCAAACAAAUCGGAAAUCGGGAAACAAAUGCUGGACAAUAAGCAAGACAAUGUUCCAUGUAUUUGUCCGGCUGAUAUCUAGAACAGAGGAUUAUAUGAUCACUUAUCUAAAUGGCGCGUUCUAGUUCAACAGAGUUUAAAGAGCUACGAUUGCUGAUCGGUUCCUGAAGUUAUACUUGCAAAUAUAGUUACUAGACUUAUCCAAGUGGGAGACUGUUGGAUAUAGUGUCUAAGCCCAUAACUAUAUUUGGUAUGUACUUGACCCGACCCGGCAUGGUCCAUUUGGGUUGCACUUCACCCGAACAAUUUAUGGAUAAUAUUUGAGAAUAGUACAAGUUAUGAUUUAUUAAUAUAUUAUAAGUUCUAAUAUAUUAAUAUAAGAUCAUAUUAUUUAAUUAGUAGUGAUCUAUAAUUAAUCUAGGAUUAAUUUAGUGAUCAAAGAUAUUACUAAUUAAAUAUGGGCUUCUAUAUUUAUAUAGUGUGGGCAUAUGCUUAUUUGGAAUGGGCUAGGCUUGGAUGGAGAAGUCCAUGGAUACUCCAUGGAGCUUUAACCCAUGGAUCUCAUGGAAAUGAAGAGACAUGGGUAUUAGGGUUUACAUGGAUGUAACCCUAAUCCNCACACUAUAUAAAGGAGGUCUUGGUUCUUGAAAUCACUACUAGUUGACACAUGUUGAGGUGAGGGCCGAUUUCAAGAGAAGUGGUGACUAUUCUCUCAAAGUUCCAAGUUUGUGGUGAUUUGUGACUUUCAUUUGAGGCAUCCACACUAUUGGUGCUAGGCUCUAAAACUCCAAGCAAUCAAUUACAAGUACAAGGUAAGUGUUUCUACUAGCUUUAUUUGAUUCAAGUUUCCCAUGCCAUGCUAGUUAGGAUAUAAGCCUUGGAAAAAAUAAUUAUUUGCAUGUAUCUUAGACAAACAUAGAUCCAAGGUUUAUUAGGGUUGCAUGUACACUUAGGAAGUGUUAGAAUGCUCAAAACCCUUCAGCUCUUUGGUCUUGGAAUAUACCAAGAUAUCAUCUAUGAACACAAUAACAGAUCGGUCGAGCAUUGGCCUGCAUAGCCAAUUCAUCAAAUCCAUAAAUACAGCAGGCGCAUUGGUGAGCCCAAAUGGAAUCACCACGAACUUAACGAGUCCAAAACGAGGUGUUCUCCACGUCCACCUCUAUCACUCUCACCUGAUGAUACCUAGACCUCAGAUCUAUCUUGGAGAACCAAGAUGCACCUUGUAACUGAUCAAAGAGGUCAUCAAUCUGCGGAAGUGAAUAACGGUUCUUCACUGUUAACUUGUUCAACUCUCGAUAAUCAAUGCACAUUCAGUGUG